rnacentral:rRNA from 1 species
CCUACGGGAGGCUGCAGUGGGGAAUAUUGCACAAUGGGCGCAAGCCUGAUGCAGCCAUGCCGCGUGUGUGAAGAAGGCCUUCGGGUUGUAAAGCACUUUCAGCGGGGAGGAAGGCGGUGAGGUUAAUAACCUCAUCGAUUGACGUUACCCGCAGAAGAAGCACUGGCUAACUCCGUGCCAGCAGCCGCGGUAAUACGGAGGGUGCAAGCGUUAAUCGGAAUUACUGGGCGUAAAGCGCACGCAGGCGGUCUGUCAAGUCGGAUGUGAAAUCCCCGGGCUCAACCUGGGAACUGCAUUCGAAACUGGCAGGCUAGAGUCUUGUAGAGGGGGGUAGAAUUCCAGGUGUAGCGGUGAAAUGCGUAGAGAUCUGGAGGAAUACCGGUGGCGAAGGCGGCCCCCUGGACAAAGACUGACGCUCAGGUGCGAAAGCGUGGGGAGCAAACAGGAUUAGAUACCCCGGUAGUC